ACGCUCGACACCUACGGGGGGCAGCAGUGGGGAAUAUUGGGCAAUGGGCGCAAGCCUGACCCAGCAACGCCGCGUGAAGGAAGAAGGCCCUCGGGUUGUAAACUUCUUUUGUCAGGGACGAAGCAAGUGACGGUACCUGACGAAUAAGCCACGGCUAACUACGUGCCAGCAGCCGCGGUAAUCUGAGCGGGCGUGGCAAGGGGGC
rnacentral:rRNA from 1 species